UGGGGAAUAUUGCACAAUGGGCGCAAGCCUGAUGCAGCCAUGCCGCGUGAGUGAAGAAGGCCUUAGGGUUGUAAAACUCUUUCACCGGUGAAGAUAAUGACGGUACCCGGAGAAGAAGCGCCGGCUAACUCCGUGCCAGCAGCCGCGGUAAGACGGAGGGCGCUAGCGUUGUUCGGAAUCACUGGGCGUAAAGGGCGCGUAGGCGGCUGUUUAAGUCGAGGGUGAAAGCCCGGGGCUCAACCCCGGAACGGCCUUCGAGACUGGGCAGCUCGAGACCGGAAGAGGAGGGUGGAAUACCCAGUGUAGAGGUGAAAUUCGUAGAUAUUGGGUGGAACACCAGUGGCGAAAGCGGCUCUCUGGUCCGGAUCUGACGCUGAGGCGCGAAAGCGUGGGGAGCAAACAGGAUUAGAUACCCGUGUAGUCC
rnacentral:rRNA from 1 species